CUUUUGAACGGAGACAAUACCACUAGUAUCCUUUUUAUUUAGCUUUAAUAACCUUUUAGGUGAGUUUUAAAAUGGUUUGGUACACAUUGUACCGCUUAUGUUCACUUGUGCUGUUAUCUAUAUGUUCGAAUAUACGGUUAAGUUGCUUUUUCAAUUUUACAUUUUGAAAUCAUAAUUUAUAUUCAGUAAAAAUGUGUAACAUGUUGUUAAAUACAAUUUCUGAUAAUUUUCCUUAAACAUUGUCAGAACAGGAUCUAAUAAGAGAAUAUCAUUUUGCUGGCUACACGUACUCCGAUAUUAUUCUUAUUCUCUUCUACCAACAUCACGUAUCUAUAAGCUGUAGACAACUACAUCGGAUACUCAGAUCACUAGGUCUUCGUCGUCAGCAUGCGGUAACGGAUGAAGUAGUUCAAGCUAUACAGGAGCAAUGUGUUGACUCUUCAGCGCGAACUGGACCCGGACGGUGUUCGUAGCAGACAGAUGCACCGAAGGGCCGAAUUACCUUAUACAUGUCGAUGGCUAUGACAAACUGAAACGAUUUGGUUUUGCCAUUCACCGUGCAAUAUGCGGGCACAGUUGAUUACAAGAUACUGGUGGGUAAUGAAGACAUCGAAGGAGUGAAAGAACUCUGUACUUCUGUUCAAGUUAAUUCUGAAGUAGUCACUGUAUUAUAACAGAAUAUGGAUGAGAACAGGCUUAG